rnacentral:rRNA from 1 species
UGAAUACGAGACGCUAAGGCGUCGAAGUAGUGUAUGUCAUACUUCCAAGAAAAGCUUGCACUGUCAUAAGUAAAAAAUGCCUGUACCAUAACCGACACAGGUGGGUAGGUAGAGUAUACUAAGGGGCGCGAGAUAACUCUCUCUCUAAGGAACUCGGCAAAAUAACUCCGUAACUUCGGGAGAAGGAGUACCUUAUUCUAUAAGGUUGCAAUAACAAGAUCCAAGCAACUGUUUAUCAAAAACACAGGUCUCCGCUAAGUCGUAAGACGAUGUAUGGGGGCUGACGCCUGCCCAGUGCCAGAAGGUUAAAGAAGCCGGUUAGCAUUAGCGAAGCUGGUAACUGAAGCCCUGGUGAACGGCGGCCGUAACAAUAACGGUCCUAAGGUAGCGAAAUUCCUUGUCGGGUAAGUUCCGACCCGCACGAAAGGCGUAAUGAUUUGGAUACUGUCUCGGAGAGGGGCUCGGUGAAAUAGACUUGUCUGUGAAGAUGCGGACUACCUGCACCAGGACAGAAAGACCCUAUGAAGCUUUACUGUAACUUGAAAUUGAAAUUGGACUUUAUUCGCGCAGUAUAGGUGGGAGGUGUUGAUUAUAAUCUUGCGGGAUUAUUGGAGCCAUCAGUGAGAUACCACUCUUGUAAUGUUAGAUUUCUAACUUUGAAUCAUUAUCUGGUCAAAGGACAGUUUCAGGCGGGCAGUUUGACUGGGGCGGUCGCCUCCCAAACGGUAACGGAGGCGUACAAAGGUUUCCUCUGAACGGGUAGAAAUCGUAUCUAGAGUGUAAAGGCAUAAGGAAGCUUGACUGUGAGACCUACAAGUCGAACAGGGACGAAAGUCGGUCUUAGUGAUCUGACGGUACUGAGUGGAAAGGCCGUCACUCAACGGAUAAAAGUUACUCUAAGGAUAACAGGCUGAUCUCCCCCAAGAGUUCACAUCGACGGGGAGGUUUGGCACCUCGAUGUCGGCUCAUCGCAUCCUGGGGCGGUAGUACGUCCCAAGGGUUGGGCUGUUCGCCCAUGAAAGCGGUACGCGAGCUGGGUUCAGAACGUCGUGAGACAGUUCGGUCCAUAUCCGGUGUAGGCGUUAGAAUAUUGAGAGGAGCCUUCUUUAGUACGAGAGGACCGAGAAGGACAUACCUCUGGUGUACCAGUUAUCGUGCCAACGGUAAACGCUGGGUAGCUAUGUAUGGAGUGGAUAACCGCUGAAAGCAUCUAAGUGGGAAGCCCACCUCAAGAUGAGUAUUCUC